rnacentral:rRNA from 1 species
GACGAACGCUGGCGGCGUGCUUAACACAUGCAAGUCGAACGGAAAGGCCCUGCUUUUGUGGGGUGCUCGAGUGGCGAACGGGUGAGUAACACGUGAGUAACCUGCCCUUGACUUUGGGAUAACUUCAGGAAACUGGGGCUAAUAUCGGAUAGGAGCUCCUGCUGCAUGGUGGGGGUUGGAAAGUUUCGGCGGUUGGGGAUGGACUCGCGGCUUAUCAGCUUGUUGGUGGGGUAGUGGCUUACCAAGGCUUUGACGGGUAGCCGGCCUGAGAGGGUGACCGGCCACAUUGGGACUGAGAUACGGCCCAGACUCCUACGGGAGGCAGCAGUGGGGAAUAUUGCACAAUGGGCGGAAGCCUGAUGCAGCAACGCCGCGUGCGGGAUGACGGCCUUCGGGUUGUAAACCGCUUUCGCCUGAGACGAAGCGUGAGUGACGGUAAUGGGUAAAGAAGCACCGGCUAACUACGUG